rnacentral:rRNA from 1 species
UACAGAGGGUGCAAGCGUUAAUCGGAAUUACUGGGCGUAAAGCGCGCGUAGGUGGUUUGUUAAGUUGGAUGUGAAAUCCCCGGGCUCAACCUGGGAACUGCAUUCAAAACUGACUGACUAGAGUAUGGUAGAGGGUGGUGGAAUUUCCUGUGUAGCGGUGAAAUGCGUAGAUAUAGGAAGGAACACCAGUGGCGAAGGCGACCACCUGGACUAAUACUGACACUGAGGUGCGAAAGCGUGGGGAGCGAACAGG